rnacentral:lncRNA from 1 species
GGGACCUGCUGGGGGUGGAGCCACAGGGGACUUGCUGGGGGUGGAGCCACGCGGACCUCCUACGGGGUGGAGACACGUGGGAACGGCUCGGGUGGAGCCACCUAAGGCUUGCUGGGGCGUGGAGCCACAUAAGACACACUGUGGGGGACAUGGAACCAUGAGGCACCUGCUGGGGGUGGGGGGUGGAACAACGCGGGACCUGCCGACCCAGCCAGGGAAGACGCCGCGGCUUUACCCAGGGAGAUGCUUGAUAUAACCUGCUUUGCAAAUUACUCUGGCAGGUGUGGUGGAUGGAGGAGUUGGACGCAGGCAGUAUAUUGGAGGAAAAGACAUUCUUGCAAUGACCCGGGCCUUCUUGACAUCGGACAUCGGGGACCCAAUUGCUCAACUUCCCAUUUUGGUAAAGGAGACAUUUCAAAUCCUGAAAAUGCUCCCUGGUGCUGCCGUAGCCACGGUCCCUCUACCUCUCUGCAAUUUCUUCCCCGUUUCCUGACUCCAGACGUGUUUUGCCGUGGUCGCCAUUUCCUCCUCCAUCCACUUGUUGCCAGGGGAUGUGUCUUCUGUCACCAAGCGGCCGGGCACCGAGUUCAAAUUUUUGUCACUAACGCACAUUUUGCUGCUUUGUGACCAGAGAAAGUGACGAGGGCUGUGGCCCUUCUGCCUGCCGGUGUCGGUGUGUCCUCGCAUGUGGCCAUCCCGGGUCCUCUGUUCCUGUCCUAUUUCGUUUCCCUCAAAUGUCACUCAUUCCGCUCUGGCGGUUGUUUUAGUUUAGAAUUCAUGAGACUGUAGGUCAGUGGGCAGAGACGAAACUUUUCAGACCCUCACCCCUCUCCCCGUGCCAAGGCUCCCACUGUGACUGAGUCCUUCCCGGGACAUGUCACACGCCCGGUCCAACCGGCCUAGACCUAGGCCAUCCCUCCUGUCAGCCGAGGUCGGGGCCCCGAUUGGAGCAAAGCACUGGGACUCUUAGACGUGCACGGGGACAGCCAAGUGGACGCCCUAGAAAACGUGGUGGCUGGGUUCCCCUGAAGCCCUGGGCCUGCACAAGUGGCCCCGCCCUCCUCUUGGACAACCAAAGCUGUCUCCCUGCCUGAGGGGGACACACAGACUUCUCCUUGGGGGACAACGUGCGUCCCAGAACCCACCUCCUCCCUCCUGCCACCAGUGCAAUAAACGCGGCCAAGUCACAGCGUCGCCCGGCGGG